rnacentral:rRNA from 1 species
GAGUUUGAUCAUGGCUCAGAUUGAACGCUGGCGGCAGGCCUAACACAUGCAAGUCGAGCGGUAGAGAGAAGCUUGCUUCUCUUGAGAGCGGCGGACGGGUGAGUAAUGCCUAGGAAUCUGCCUGGUAGUGGGGGAUAACGCUCGGAAACGGACGCUAAUACCGCAUACGUCCUACGGGAGAAAGCAGGGGACCUUCGGGCCUUGCGCUAUCAGAUGAGCCUAGGUCGGAUUAGCUAGUUGGUGAGGUAAUGGCUCACCAAGGCGACGAUCCGUAGCUGGUCUGAGAGGAUGAUCAGUCACACUGGAACUGAGACACGGUCCAGACUCCUACGGGAGGCAGCAGUGGGGAAUAUUGGACAAUGGGCGAAAGCCUGAUCCAGCCAUGCCGCGUGUGUGAAGAAGGUCUUCGGAUUGUAAAGCACUUUAAGUUGGGAGGAAGGGCAGUAAAUUAAUACUUUGCUGUUUUGACGUUACCGACAGAAUAAGCACCGGCUAACUCUGUGCCAG